rnacentral:sRNA from 2 species
AGUCGAUCAGGGCGGACACUUCAGGCCUCAAAUGAGCUGUCCCCGCUACUCUUGCCAAUCAUUUCAUUCUAAUGGGCUAUGAUGGUGGUGAAUUCAUUAACCCUCUUCCAAGGACUCCGACCCAGUCCCUUGGCUGAUUCAAGGCUGCUUGCCAUUAUUGGGUCCUCGCCGGCGACGAACGCGCCAGAGGCACCGCGACAGGUUCGGAUUGAGACUUCGCUCUAAUCAGGAGGACUUAAGCAGAUUCAGGAUCCGCGUGCUGAAGGUUGUUCGACCGUUUGCAUCCGAUGUAGAAAUGUCAC